GAUGUCGAUUUAGAGGUUGUGGUCUUGACCGUGGCUUCUGGAGCUAACGCGUUAAAUCGACCGCCUGGGGAGUACGGCCGCAAGGUUAAAACUCAAAUGAAUUGACGGGGGCCCGCACAAGCGGUGGAGCAUGUGGUUUAAUUCGAUGCAACGCGAAGAACCUUACCUACUCUUGACAUCCAGCGAAUCCUUUAAAGAUAGAGGAGUGCCUUCGGGAACGCUGAGACAGGUGCUGCAUGGCUGUCGUCAGCUCGUGUUGUGAAAUGUUGGGUUAAGUCCCGCAACGAGCGCAACCCUUAUCCUUUGUUGCCAGCACGUGAUGGUGGGAACUCAAAGGAGACUGCCGGUGAUAAACCGGAGGAAGGUGGGGAUGACGUCAAGUCAUCAUGGCCCUUACGAGUAGGGCUACACACGUGCUACAAUGGCAGAUACAAAGAGAAGCGACCUCGCGAGAGCAAGCGGAACUCAUAAAGUCUGUCGUAGUCCGGAUUGGAGUCUGCAACUCGACUCCAUGAAGUCGGAAUCGCUAGUAAUCGUAGAUCAGAAUGCUACGGUGAAUACGUUCCCGGGCCUUGUACACACCGCCCGUCACACCAUGGGAGUGGGUUGCAAAAGAAGUAGGUAGCUUAACCUUCGGGAGGGCGCUUACCACUUUGUGAUUCAUGACUGGGGUGAAG
rnacentral:rRNA from 13 species